AAAUUGAAGAGUUUGAUCAUGGCUCAGAUUGAACGCUGGCGGCAGGCCUAACACAUGCAAGUCGAGCGGUAGCACAGAGAGCUUGCUCUCGGGUGACGAGCGGCGGACGGGUGAGUAAUGUCUGGGAAACUGCCUGAUGGAGGGGGAUAACUACUGGAAACGGUAGCUAAUACCGCAUAAUGUCGCAAGACCAAAGUGGGGGACCUUCGGGCCUCAUGCCAUCAGAUGUGCCCAGAUGGGAUUAGCUAGUAGGUGGGGUAACGGCUCACCUAGGCGACGAUCCCUAGCUGGUCUGAGAGGAUGACCAGCCACACUGGAACUGAGACACGGUCCAGACUCCUACGGGAGGCAGCAGUGGGGAAUAUUGCACAAUGGGCGCAAGCCUGAUGCAGCCAUGCCGCGUGUGUGAAGAAGGCCUUCGGGUUGUAAAGCACUUUCAGCGGGGAGGAAGGCGUUAAGGUUAAUAACCUUGGCGAUUGACGUUACCCGCAGAAGAAGCACCGGCUAACUCCGUGCCAGCAGCCGCGGUAAUACGGAGGGUGCAAGCGUUAAUCGGAAUUACUGGGCGUAAAGCGCACGCAGGCGGUCUGUCAAGUCGGAUGUGAAAUCCCGGCUCAACCGGGAACUGCAUUCGAAACUGGCAGGCUAGAGUCUUGUAGAGGGGGGUAGAAUUCCAGGUGUAGCGGUGAAAUGCGUAGAGAUCUGGAGGAAUACCGGUGGCGAAGGCGGCCCCCUGGACAAAGACUGACGCUCAGGUGCGAAAGCGUGGGGAGCAAACAGGAUUAGAUACCCUGGUAGUCCACGCCGUAAACGAUGUCGAUUUGGAGGUUGUGCCCUUGAGGCGUGGCUUCCGGAGCUAACGCGUUAAAUCGACCGCCUGGGGAGUACGGCCGCAAGGUUAAAACUCAAAUGAAUUGACGGGGGCCCGCACAAGCGGUGGAGCAUGUGGUUUAAUUCGAUGCAACGCGAAGAACCUUACCUGGUCUUGACAUCCACAGAACUUUCCAGAGAUGGAUUGGUGCCUUCGGGAACUGUGAGACAGGUGCUGCAUGGCUGUCGUCAGCUCGUGUUGUGAAAUGUUGGGUUAAGUCCCGCAACGAGCGCAACCCUUAUCCUUUGUUGCCAGCGGUUAGGCCGGGAACUCAAAGGAGACUGCCAGUGAUAAACUGGAGGAAGGUGGGGAUGACGUCAAGUCAUCAUGGCCCUUACGACCGGGCUACACACGUGCUACAAUGGCAUAUACAAAGAGAAGCGACCUCGCGAGAGCAAGCGGACCUCAUAAAGUAUGUCGUAGUCCGGAUUGAGUCUGCAACUCGACUCCAUGAAGUCGGAAUCGCUAGUAAUCGUAGAUCAGAAUGCUACGGUGAAUACGUUCCCGGGCCUUGUACACACCGCCCGUCACACCAUGGGAGUGGGUUGCAAAAGAAGUAGGUAGCUUAACCUUCGGGAGGGCGCUUACCACUUUGUGAUUCAUGACUGGGGUGAAGUCGUAACAAGGUAACCGUAGGGGAACCUGCGGUUGGAUCACCUCCUUACCUUAAAGAA
rnacentral:rRNA from 1 species